AAUAUUUUAAAAUUAAAGAUAAGCAUGGGAAACCUCUCAUCAUGGAUAAAUCGAAAGUUCGCAGAGAAAAAGAGAAAUGCAGACAAGAAGUGCUUCGCAAACGGUUAGAUGAUACCAAUUUGUUAGCGUUUUCAUUCGAUGGCAGAAAAGAUGAUACUUUAACGAUAGAUAAAAUUGAUGAGAAGUAUCAUACUAGGAUGGUAAAAGAACCUCAUCUUGUUAUUUUGAGAGAACCAAUUCUGAAUUGAUUGGUUACGUAAGACUGGAACAUGAAACCGCUGAAUACAAAACAACCAAAUUAAAUGGUUUUUUCAACGAUAAAAAUAUAUCACUGGAUGCAUUAAUUGGAAUAUGCACUGACGGUGAGCCAACAAACACUGGCCCACACGGUGGAAUUAUACGACGAUUCGAAUUGCUGUUAAAAAGACCAUUGCAUUGGUUCGUUUGCCUUCUACACUACAACGAACUUCCGUUUCGGCAUUUGUUUGAAGCUUUGGAUAAAUCAACCAGCACUGGACCAAGAUCGGCAACCGGAAAACUGAGCCGUCAAAUCGAAACUUGUGAAACUCUUCCGGUGGUGGACGGCUUCCAGAAAAUUGAGUUGCAAAAUAUGCCCCCUGCUCCA